rnacentral:lncRNA from 1 species
AGUUUGCGAAAGUCGUCCGCCAGGCCCAGACCGCUGGAUAGGAGGCUCUUGGCCGGGCCGGGGGCUGGGGGCCGGGAUGGCAGAGGGGGCCCUAGCUGCGCCCCGCCGCGCUGGGCCCUCGUCUCCGGGUGCUCUCAACCCUCAUACAGGCCCUUAGCCGUUCUCCUAGGGACCCUGCCCGGACAGGAGGAAAGGUUUCCGGCCCAUGGAGUUUAGUCUCAUUACAAAAGCAAAACAAGAAUAAGACUUACCAAGUUGCUUGCCGUUGGGGCUGAGGUCCAAGGAGGUGAUCGCAGCUUUGUGGCCUUUGAAAUAACGCUCCAGAACGGGGUCCUCCUGGAAAGGAAAGUUGUCAAGUUUUGAAAGCCGCCGCAGACCUCGAAUUCUGGCGGCUGGGAUCCACGCUGCCACUUCCCCGGAGUCCGGCUUGGGAAUGGCCACCCAGGCGGCGGCUUGGCUGGGCGGCGGGGCCGGGCAG